AACGAACGCUGGCGGCAUGCCUAACACAUGCAAGUCGAACGAGACCUUCGGGUCUAGUGGCGCACGGGUGCGUAACGCGUGGGAAUCUGCCCUUCGGUUGGGAAUAACUGAGAGAAAUCUCAGCUAAUACCUUAUAAUGUCUUCGGACCAAAGAUUUAUCGCCGGGGGAUGAGCCCGCGUAGGAUUAGGUAGUUGGUGGUGUAAUGGCCUACCAAGCCGACGAUCCUUAGCUGUUCUGAGAGGAUGAUCAGCCACACUGGGACUGAGACACGGCCCGGACUACUACGGUAGGCAGCAGUGGAGAAUAUUGGACAAUGGGCAAAAGCCUGUUCCAGCAAUGCCGCGUAAGUGAUGAAGGCCUUAGGGUUGUAAAGCUCUUUUACCCGGGAUGAUAAUGACAGUACCGGGAGAAUAAGCACCGGCUAACUCCGUGCCAGCAGCCGCCGUAA
rnacentral:rRNA from 1 species